UCACAGAAGAAGGGUGUGGUUAGCACUACCUGGGAAAACUUCACAAAGGAGGUGGUGUUUGAGUGAAGUCUUGAGGUCCCCAGGGCUGCUUACCGGGCAGUGUGGAUGGCAUGCAGUGGGAUGGUGAAGGAUGGGGCCAGAGGAAGGAAGGACAUGCCCGCCCAGCCGUGUUUGGGAUGCUGCCUCCCUGGAGAGGGGUCAUGAAGCCUAGCAGGCAGUGGAGCCCAGGCUCAAAGCAGCUCCCCCUGCCCCGUGUAGAGCGCUGAUGAGAUGGCAAUUUAAACUGCUUUGAUGACCAGGUUUCAUUAGGAUCAACGGAUGAAAAGACUGAGAUUGUAUACAUGUAAAUACCAAGUUCAGUGAGUUUCCAUGGCCUCUUCUGUCUUAAUACAACUUACCAAACAAUCCAGACAGAUUUCUGCCUCCACUUUGUUGAUUUACCCAGGUAUAUUUUGGCUUUGUUUGCAGAUAUUCGGUGACAUUUGGAAGGGUGCUGUCCGCAGCUGCCCCUCAU
rnacentral:lncRNA from 1 species